rnacentral:rRNA from 1 species
AGUGAACGCUGGCGGUAGGCCUAACACAUGCAAGUCGAACGGCAGCACAGUAAGAGCUUGCUCUUACGGGUGGCGAGUGGCGGACGGGUGAGGAAUACAUCGGAAUCUACUUUUUCGUGGGGGAUAACGUGGGGAAACUGACGCUAAUACCGCAUACGACCUACGGGUGAAAGCAGGGGAUCUUCGCACCUUGCGCGUCUGAAUGAGCCGAUGUCGGAUUAGCUAGUUGGCGGGGUAAGGGCCCACCAAGGCGACGAUACGUAGCUGAUCUGAGAGGAUGAUCGGCCACACUGGAACUGAGACACGGUCCAGACUCCUACGGGAGGCAGCAGUGGGGAAUAUUGCACAAUGGGCGCAAGCCUGAUCCAGCCAUGCCGCGUGAGUGAAGAAGGCCUUCGGGUCGUAAAGCCCUGUUGUUGGGAAAGAAAAGCAGCAGGUUAAUCCCCCGCUGUUCUGACGGUACCCAAAGAAUAAGCACCGGCUAACUUCGUG